UAGCUAUCAUUCCAGCAUUCUAUAAGUUGACCGUCCAAUCACUGUUGCUAGAGCCAUUCAUGUCUUCUCAAUUUAUAAACAUGGCAACUUGGAAUUUGGCUUGUAAGUGCUCCAGGAUGUUUGUACACAGUAGACUGUUGACUUUCGUGUCAGUCACACAUGAAUGUGGGCUCUCACUCUGCAUCCUACAUUUCCACUAGUUCUAUCCUCUGGCCUAAAGGACUGCUGUGAGGUAGCAGAGAAGUGGCGACGCAGUGUCUUAACGACAGAACAAAAAUCUGGAGGAAAGAUACCCAAGCAUCCCUGGAGAGGAAGCCCAAUCCAGACAGCAGAGUAUCAUCUGACCUCCGGCAGCUCAGCCUGGAUGACUUUCCAGAGGAUGGUGAGAGGCUAGUAAAGGACUCCAGAGAAGGACUAUCCAGAGAAGAAGACAGGAAUUAUGAGACAUUGUUUGGCGGCUCCUGGCUCUCACCCAGGGCAGAACAAGUCCCACAGGCUUUUUGUGAAGGAGGGUGUGGCCUCCUGUAGGGCCUCUGUAAGGCAGGUGUGUGAGGAGGCCCAUAGACAGUGUGUGCAGAUCCAGGGGGUUAGUAAGAAGGACUUGGAACAAGAUGAGCGCAGGAGGGGUCCACCAGGUUUUAUGCCUGCAUGCCAGUCCUCUGGGUUAUCUGCCAGAGGACAAUACCUCCAAGCCACCCAGGGACAGCAGUCGCAUCCCCCUCUGGCUACUCUUCGAUGGAGUGCAAGACCCAAUGAACGUUCUGCAUAUUUUCUUGGGGUAGAUCGAGUUGGCGGAAGUCUUUGUAACAGGCAUCCUGCUACACUUACCCCUGUCGUCCUGUAGAGAUGGCCAUCGAUGACCGACUAGACUAGACAACUCAAGGUGUUUACUUUGGAUGCCCUCCCAGGCACUCCUCCCAGGGCUUAAUGACUGGAUUUACUGCAUCAAUUAGCCAUCAGGGUCUCUGAGAGGCCUGGCUGGCUGAUCGAUUGUUCUCUAGCAGCUGAUGUCCCCUUGCCGUGCUGUUCUGCACUGCCCUGUACCAUGCUAACUGCUUGUCUGAAUGUAAACUUAGUACAAUGUAAUUAAAUCAAAUCAAACAUUUUCUACUC
rnacentral:lncRNA from 1 species